rnacentral:rRNA from 1 species
GCCCUAGGAAACGUGGAUUAAUACCCCAUAGUAUUCAGAAAUCGCAUGAUUUUUGAAUUAAAGCUUUGGCGGAAAGAGAUGACCAUGCGUAUCAUUAGCUAGUAGGUGAGGUAACGGCUCACCUAGGCUACGAUGAUUAGGGGUCCUGAGAGGGAGAUCCCCCACACUGGUACUGAGACACGGACCAGACUCCUACGGGAGGCAGCAGUGAGGAAUAUUGGACAAUGGUCGAAAGACUGAUCCAGCCAUGCCGCGUGCAGGAUGAAUGCCCUAUGGGUUGUAAACUGCUUUUAUACGGGAAGAACACCACCCACGUGUGGGUGACUGACGGUACCGUAAAAAUAAGGACCGGUUAACUCCGUGCCAGCAGCCGCGGUAUAUACGGAGGGUCCAAGCGUUAUCCGGAAUCAUUGGGUUUAAAGGGUCCGUAGGCGGGCUAUUAAGUCAGAGGUGAAAGUUUGCGGCUCAACUGUAAAAUUGCCUUUGAUACUGGUAGUCUUGAGUUAUAGUGAAGUGGUUAGAAUAUGUGGUGUAGCGGUGAAAUGCAUAGAUAUCUCAUAAAAUACCAAUUGCGAAGGCAGAUCACUAACUAUAUACUGACGCUGAUGGACAAAAGCGGGGGGAGCAAACGGGAUUAGAUACCCCGGUAGCCCACGCCCGUAAACGAUGGAUACUAGCUGUUGGAUUUUUUCAGUGGCUUAGCCAAAGAGAUGAUUAUCCCACCUGGGGAGUACUUUCCCCAGAAUGGAAAUCUAAGGAUUUUGUGGGGGCCCUCCCAACCCGUGGAGCAAUGUGGUUUAAUUCUAUGAU